UACAUUAAAAAACGAAAACUAGAUUUUGUAACGGCAGUGAAUAAAAAGACUAUAUUACUGCGGCACUUGACUCUCUCUCUCACACACACACACACACACACACACACACAAAUCAGAGCACAGAUGCAUUUAUUUUCGUUUGUUAUUACUUAUAUAAAAAUCAUUGAUUUACAUUACAAACUAUCAGAAUUUCGUGUCACUUUUUGGUAAAUAACAUUUGCACAUAAUUGCAUAAUUUUGCUCAGUUUGGGCCUCGGAAUGUUUCUUUCUUGAGUAGGAGCUCCAUAUUUUCACCAAAUCAUACUAUUCGUAAAGCCCAGCCCAUUCAUCAAGAGCCAGAACGCCACUUCUCGCGAGAUUUCCGUAGCUCGUCAUCCCCGGGCUCCCUGGUACAGUUCCGUCUUCCUCUCUCUCGCUGCGUUUCAGCCCACACUGACCUGACCCUGCCAGAGCGAAACAACCGGCCCGGAGCCACAGUCCACAGCGCGUCCACUCACGGAACGCCUUUACAUCCCGACAGUAACAGUACUCGCGAGGACACACCACCGCAGUGAAUCUCUUGGACACGCUGAACUGAUCAGACUCCAGUCAGACACAGAGCAAACGCCGUUCCAGGACCUGCUGCUUCUUGUCACUGUCCUGAAGGCAGAAUUCAGCCAGACAUGUCAUCUAAUACAACAGUGCACUGUUUCUGUUUGCUUCACAUUUUGUAUGAAAGCACUCAACCAUGUCCACUUUUAUGGCUUCCAUUAAGAGGCCAUCUUUUCCUUGUUGCCUCGUCAUAAUUAAACACUCUUGCAUUUCAAUAUUGCAUUUCUUUAAAUAAAUAAAAAAUACCUAGAAUUAAAAAAAACACACAUCUUUUCUCAUUUUUAGUUUCCUAAAAUUACUAAAACUAAAUAAAAUAAAAUUAAUAAAACUUAAAAAUUAAUAAAACUUUACCUAAAAUUAAAAUGAAAACCGAAAAUAUAAAAUUAGAAUUUAAAUCAAAAUAUUAACAAAAACUAUAAUAGUAUAUUGAUACUAAAAUAACACUGAUCAGACUGUCAUGGAAUUUUUAUUUUUAUUUUUUGGUAUGCUGUUUUCUUCCACUGGCUUUAAUGUCAGAGGUAAUGUCAGAUUUUUAAUGGCUAAGUUUUGUAUAGAUUAUCAUUAAAGGGGGAGUCAGUGCCGUUUUUAGAUCUGCGACCACUCUGCAUCAGCGUACUCGAGUGAUAUUUUCCCGGCUGGAUAUUUUUGUUGCUUGCAAAGCCCCUCUGCACUUGAGUUUAGGAUGUCAGUUGAGUUAGCGAAGGGUGUCUUGAAUGACCACUCUGGCUUUGCAUAGCUCCACAGUGUCAUCUGUUCAGCAAACAAAUGCUGUUUAUUUUAUAUGAUAGAGCCUGUUUUAGCUUUGUUUGAUUAGCUCAGUGAUCAUAUUGCUCAUUUACAGUCUCUGUUCUCGGUGGAAAAAGUGGACGUGUGUGAGGGAGUGUCGCCCGCUCACGGGUGCUUAGCUUGAUGUCAAUAAGUAAACCAAGACUGCUGCCCUCAGCACACGUACUAAUUGGAUCAUACCACUGUGAAAGGGAGGAGGUGGAACGAACAAGCCAGAAAUAUAGAGGAGGUGAUUAGGUGUGAUUUUUAGAGUAAGAGAAGCAAGUAAAAGUCAACCACAGAGGAGGCGGCGUUCCAGGGCAGUCGGUGAAUACUUUUGGUUGGCCAUAUUAGAACAUCUUAUGCAAUUUGCUGAAUAAGUGUGCCAAAGUGUGAUGAUUUUGCUUUGCUUGAGGCAUUCUGUUAUGCAUUGCCUGCUGAAAGUAUAAAUGGAUAGCAACUAACAAUACACAACUUUUAUCUCAAGAUGUUUAAUAUGAUAAUGAUAUCGAUUCUGAGGGGUAAUCUGAUGUGGUUUACCUGUA
rnacentral:lncRNA from 1 species